UACGUAGGGGGCAAGCGUUGUCCGGAUUUAUUGGGCGUAAAGAGCGUGUAGGCGGCUUUGCAAGUCCGUUGUGAAAACUCGAGGCUCAACCUCGAGACGCCGAUGGAAACCGUCUGGCUAGAGUCCGGAAGAGGAGAGUGGAAUUCCUGGUGUAGCGGUGAAAUGCGCAGAGUAUCAGGAAGAACACCCGUGGCUAAGGCGGCUCUCUAGUACGGUACUGACGCUGAGACGCGAAAGCGUGGGAGCGAACAGG
rnacentral:rRNA from 1 species